rnacentral:tRNA from 1 species
CGGGAUAUUUUGAAAAGAGUA